AAGGUAGCGUGAUAAGUCGCCCUUUAAUUGUGGGCCCGUAUGAAAGGACAAACGAAAGCUUAGCUGUCUCCCUAAAAUAAAUAAAAAUUGUCCUCAAGGUGAAGAGACCUUGAUAUAGUCAAAGGACAAGAAGACCCCGUAGAGCUUACAUUUUUACAUCUACACUAAAUAAGUUGCUAAACACUAUUUUAUGCAAAUUAAAAAAUUUUACUGGGGCGGUAAAGGAAUAUAAACUUCCAUCUACACUACACACCUAUAACACCAGGCACACUAGCCACAUAUAAAUGAUCCAUCCUAUGAUCAAAGAAAAUAGCUACCUCGGGGAUAACAGAUUAAUUCCCCUUAAGAGUUCACAUUGACAGGGGAGUUUGACACCUCGAUGUUGGCUUAGGGUAUCCUAGGGGUCUGCAGCAGUCCCUAAAGGUAGGUUUGUUCAACCUUUAAAACCCUACAUGAUC
rnacentral:rRNA from 1 species